rnacentral:rRNA from 1 species
UGGGGAAUAUUGCACAAUGGGCGCAAGCCUGAUGCAGCCAUGCCGCGUGUGUGAAGAAGGCCUUCGGGUUGUAAAGCACUUUCAGCGAGGAGGAAGGUGGUGAGCUUAAUACGCUCAUCAAUUGACGUUACUCGCAGAAGAAGCACCGGCUAACUCCGUGCCAGCAGCCGCGGUAAUACGGAGGGUGCAAGCGUUAAUCGGAAUUACUGGGCGUAAAGCGCACGCAGGCGGUUUGUUAAGUCAGAUGUGAAAUCCCCGGGCUCAACCUGGGAACUGCAUUUGAAACUGGCAGGCUAGAGUCUCGUAGAGGGGGGUAGAAUUCCAGGUGUAGCGGUGAAAUGCGUAGAGAUCUGGAGGAAUACCGGUGGCGAAGGCGGCCCCCUGGACGAAGACUGACGCUCAGGUGCGAAAGCGUGGGGAGCAAAACAGGAUUAGAUACCCUGGUAGUCCACGCUGUAAACGAUGUCGAUUUUGGAGGUUGUGCCCUUGAGGCGUGGCUUCCGGAGCUAACGCGUUAAAUCGACCGCCU